UAGGGAAUCUUCCGCAAUGGGCGAAAGCCUGACGGAGCAACGCCGCGUGAGUGAUGAAGGUCUUCGGAUCGUAAAACUCUGUUAUUAGGGAAGAACAAAUGUGUAAGUAACUAUGCACGUCUUGACGGUACCUAAUCAGAAAGCCACGGCUAACUACGUGCCAGCAGCCGCGGUAAUACGUAGGUGGCAAGCGUUAUCCGGAAUUAUUGGGCGUAAAGCGCGCGUAGGCGGUUUUUUAAGUCUGAUGUGAAAGCCCACGGCUCAACCGUGGAGGGUCAUUGGAAACUGGAAAACUUGAGUGCAGAAGAGCAAAGUGGAAUUCCAUGUGUAGCGGUGAAAUGCGCAGAGAUAUGGAGGAACACCAGUGGCGAAGGCGACUUUCUGGUCUGUAACUGACGCUGAUGUGCGAAAGCGUGGGGAUCAAACAGG
rnacentral:rRNA from 1 species